GUUAGUUCAGGGCUAAUCUUCCUUAAAAAAAAACAAAGAAAAAGAAAAGUUAAGAUUUGAGAGGUGCCUAAAAGAAAAGUUUCUACAGAAGUCUGUUAAGUUUAUGCCUUUAUGAACACUUUCAUAGGAGUUAUAACUGAACUGCUUUCUGUUUUUGCAGGUUGACAUACCAAGGAGUGCAGUCAGCAGCCGCCCCAUUUCUAUGGAAUCAGCCUACAUUUUGGGAAUGCCCAGGCACAGAGACGCACACUCUCCACCGGCCUCCCUGCCGAGGACUUUCCUCGAAUGAGUCACCAGCCCUGAGGGCAGCGAGUGAGUCAGAAGCAGCUGGGAUCACCCAAGACUGCCCGGGUGUGGCACAGCCCUUGUGUGCCAGCAGUUGUGUUUGUGUGUGUGUGUGUGUG
rnacentral:lncRNA from 1 species